CAGAAUUAUUUUUUGUUUAUAUGUUUCUAAUAGCGGUCCACUAAUUGCAAGUUAGACAGACUGCCCUAUAUAAACCUUCCCUUUUCUCUCCCUCCUUCCUUUACUUCUCCCUCUCACCCUCCAAUUUUCUGUUUGUUUUUCUUCUCAGUUUUCCUGUGAAACAAACAGCCCUGACAUCGAAAUCCUUCCAUUUCAAAGCCCUUUCAACCAUUAUCUUCCUCAUUUUCAACUCUUCAUUCGAUCCACUCCUUAGAAUCUCCAAUUUUUCAUCUAUCUCCCUCAGUGUAUUUCCAUUUUAGAAUUUUAUUUAUUCCUCUGUCUUUUCACUUCGAGUUUAGAUCUUCUGAUUUGGUCUAAUGAGUCGCUACGAUUCUAACCCGUUCGACGAAGAAGAGGUUAAUCCUUUCGCGGAUCAAGCAACAAAGGGGAAAGGAUCAGGGCAAUCAAAUUAUGGUGGAGGUUCCUUUUAUAUGACCAAUCCUGGAAGUGUUCCUCCUGCAACCUCAAGGCUUUCACCCCUUCCUCCUGAACCUUAUGAUCGGGGUGCAACGGUUGAUAUUCCCCUUGACAGUGGAAAGGAUUUGAAAUCAAAGGAGAGGGAGCUCCAAGUUAAAGAGGCUGAGCUUAAGAAGAGGGAACAGGAACUAAAACGGAGGGAAGAUGCGAUAGCACGGGCUGGAAUUGUAAUAGAAGAGAAGAAUUGGCCACCAUUUUUUCCCAUUAUCCAUCAUGACAUUUCAACUGAAAUACCAAUCCAUCUCCAAAGGAUGCAAUAUGUUGCAUUUACAACAUUGUUGGGAUUAUUUGUGUGCCUUUUGUGGAAUAUUGUGGCAGUUACCACUGCCUGGAUCAAAGGCGAAGGCCCAACAAUUUGGUUUCUUGCUAUCAUCUACUUCAUAUCAGGGGUUCCUGGAGCCUAUGUUAUGUGGUAUCGUCCUUUAUAUCGUGCAAUGAGGACUGAUAGUGCUCUGAAAUUUGGGUGGUUUUUCCUGGCUUACCUGAUCCACAUUGGCUUUUGCAUCUUUGCUGCUGUUGCUCCUCCAGUUGUUUUCAAGGGGAAGUCUCUUGCAGGUAUUUUUCCUGCUAUAGAUCUUCUCGGCAAACAUGUUUUAGUUGGGAUAUUCUACGUAAUUGGAUUUGUAUGUUUCUGCAUCGAAUCCUUGCUCAGUAUCUGGGUUAUACAGCAAGUUUAUAUGUAUUUCCGAGGCAGUGGGAAGGCUGCAGAAAUGAAGCGGGAAGCUGCAACAAGGACAAUGAUGGCUGCACUUUGAUGGCACUGCUGUGUAACAGAGAUAACUAUUAAUGGAUAGAGCCAAAACAAUACUUCACUCAUUUUUUUUUUCCUUCUAUACCUUCGUGGCUUGCUUUAGGAUGCAAAACUUUUUGAUUUGGUGUCUACUUACAUUAUCAGGUGAAGAAUCUUAGACAAAUUAGAAAAGUUGAGUAGAGGUUUGUAGUGAGCUUGUGGCUGUGAUAGCUUCAAGGUUUGAUCUUGACAUGUUUCGUGAUGUACAAUUUCUAUGUUAUUAUGUUUAUUCUUUUACAUCACGAAACAUGUCAAGAUCAAACC
rnacentral:misc_RNA from 1 species